rnacentral:rRNA from 1 species
GACAGAGGGUGCAACCGUUGUUCGGAAUUACUGGGCGUAAAGCGUGCGCAGGCGGUUCUGAAAGUCAGCUGUGAAAGCCCCGGGCUUAACCUGGGAAUGGCGGUUGAAACUACAGGACUAGAAUCUGGCAGAGGGGGGUGGAAUUCCACGUGUAGCAGUGAAAUGCGUAGAGAUGUGGAGGAACACCGAUGGCGAAGGCAGCCCCCUGGGCUGAGAUUGACGCUCAGGCACGAAAGCGUGGGGAGCAAACAGG